GUGCUCGCUUCGGCAGCACAUAUAUUAAA
rnacentral:snRNA from 1 species